rnacentral:rRNA from 1 species
UACGGAGGGGGCGAGCGUUGUCCGAAGUUACUGGGCGUAAAGCGCGCGUAGGCGGGUUGGUAAGUCCGCUGUGAAAGCCCGGAGCUCAACUCCGGAGGGUCGGUGGAUACUGCCAGUCUUGAAGGUGCUAGGGGGAGAUGGAAUUACCGGUGUAGCGGUGAAAUGCGUAGAUAUCAGGAGGAACACCGGUGGCGAAGGCGCUCAUCUGGCCCAAUACUGACGCUGCAGCGCGAAAGCUAGGGGAGCAAACGGG